rnacentral:rRNA from 1 species
UGCCAGCCGCCGCGGUAAUACGUAGGUGGCAAGCGUUGUCCGGAUUUACUGGGCGUAAAGAGCGCGCAGGCGGUCAGGUAAGUCGAAUGUGAAAGCCCCCGGCUCAACCGGGGAAGGUCAUUCGAUACUGCUUGACUUGAAGAUGGGAGAGGGAAGCGGAAUUUCCGGUGUAGUGGUGAAAUGCGUAGAUAUCGGAAGGAACACCAGUGGCGAAGGCGGCUUUCUGGACGGUGACUGACGCUCAUGUGCGAAAGCGUGGGGAGCAAACAGGAUUAGAUA